rnacentral:rRNA from 1 species
GAUGAACGCUGGCGGCGUGCCUAAUACAUGCAAGUCGAGCGAACAGACGAGGAGCUUGCUCCUCUGACGUUAGCGGCGGACGGGUGAGUAACACGUGGAUAACCUACCUAUAAGACUGGGAUAACUUCGGGAAACCGGGGCUAAUACCGGAUAAUAUAUUGAACCGCAUGGUUCAAUAGUGAAAGACGGUUUUGCUGUCACUUAUAGAUGGAUCCGCGCCGCAUUAGCUAGUUGGUAAGGUAACGGCUUACCAAGGCAACGAUGCGUAGCCGACCUGAGAGGGUGAUCGGCCACACUUGAACUGAGACACGGUCCAGACUCCUACGGGAGGCAGCAGUAGGGAAUCUUCCGCAAUGGGCGAAAGCUUGACGGAGCAACGCCGCGUGAGGGAUGAAGGUCUUCGGAUCGUAAAACUCUGUUAUUAGGGAAGAACAAAUGUGUAAGUAACUAUGCACGUCUUGACGGUACCUAAUCAGAAAGCCACGGCUAACUACGUG